UACGGAGGGUGCAACCGUUGCUCGGAAUCAUUGGGCGUAAAGCGCACGUAGGCGGCCUGAUAAGUCGGGUGUGAAAGCCCUGGGCUCAACCCAGAAAGUGCACACGAAACUGUCAGGCUUGAAUAUGGAAGAGGGUCGCGGAAUUCCCGGUGUAGAGGUGAAAUUCGUAGAUAUCGGGAGGAACACCAGUGGCGAAGGCGGCGACCUGGGCCAAUAUUGACGCUGAGGUGCGAAAGCGUGGGGAGCAAACAGG
rnacentral:rRNA from 1 species